UACGAAGGUCCCAAGCGUUGUUCGGAAUCACUGGGCGUAAAGGGAGCGUAGGCGGCGCGGUAAGUCAGAUGUGAAAUCCCGGGGCUCAACCCCGGAACUGCAUCCGAUACUGCCGUGCUUGAGGGUUGGAGAGGUAGCUGGAAUUCUCGGUGUAGCAGUGAAAUGCGUGGAUAUCGAGAGGAACACUCGUGGCGAAGGCGAGCUACUGGACAACAUCUGACGCUGAGGCUCGAAGGCUAGGGGAGCAAACGGG
rnacentral:rRNA from 1 species